AUGGUCGCUGCAUCCGUCGCGUCGACCUCCACCCCCGCCGCGUACUCGUCCUUGGCUCCGAACCCGACAGCGCGUGACCCGGUUAGGACUAGGAGGCGCACUACUCAUCCACUUGUGGCAGCCACCAAUCGCCACGUGCACGGCCGCACUGUGACCAGUCUCCGCCAGAUUCACCCUCGCGACCACUUUGCGAACCCUCCGCGGCCCGUAUUCGUGGCGUCGGCGGCGGAAGCGGAAGAGAUGGCCGCGGAGGCGAGUACUCCGGCGCCGGCCGAGGCCAGCGCGAAGCCCUUCGCCGUCCUCUUCGUCUGCCUCGGGAACAUUUGUAGGAGUCCUGCAGCUGAAGCCGUCUUCCGGAACCUCGUCAGCAAGCGCGGACUUGAGUCCAAGUUUCAGAUAGACUCUGCUGGUACCAUAGGUUAUCAUGAGGGAGAUAAGGCCGACUCAAGGAUGAUAUCAACUUCCAAGAAGCGGGGGAUUGAGGUGACCUCAAUAUCCAGGCCUAUCAAACCCUCAGAUUUCCGAAAUUUUGAUCUUAUCCUUGCAAUGGACAGGCAGAAUUAUGAAGACAUUUUGAGCUCAUUUGACAGAUGGCAACACAAGGAGACUCUCCCAGAUAGUGGACCCAAGAAGGUUAAGCUGAUGUGCUCCUAUUGCAAGCGGCAUACGGAGUCUGAAGUUCCAGAUCCUUACUAUGGAGGCGCUAAGGGAUUUGAAAAGGUACUGGAUCUGCUGGAAGAUGCAUGCGAGUCAUUACUUGACAGCAUCGUGGCGGAGAAAGAAAACGUUUCUGCUUGA
rnacentral:rRNA from 1 species